GGUGUUUAAGGCUGUAAGGGUAUUGUGAAGUCUGUUGCCAAAAAGUGAAUGCAGGGAUGGAUUAACACUCAACCUGGAGGGUAACUGAUCUCUCUCUGAUCCAGACAGAGUCUUGUCUUGGUUUGUUCGUUGGGACUAAAAGCUAUACUUAGGAAAAAAGAAGGGAGAGUGUCUCUGUGUAGUUCUUGCCCUCCCUGCUGUGGAUGAUGACCAGCAGUGCUCACAGUUUCUGUCUUCAGGUUGGGAACAGCAAGUCUCAAACAGGCUCUACACUCGUGGUCAUGGCUGUCCCCAAACAGCCCAGCUGGAAACAGACUCUGCCUGUUCACUGCAGCUCUGGGAUAACAAACAUUUACAGCAUGGUUUUUGCUAACACUAAUGAGUUCUAUUAGAUUAAUUACUUAGAGUGAGGUCUGACUUAGCUGCCUCCCUUUUCAUCUAUGGGGCAAAGUAGAAGAGCUAAUAAUGAUGUUACUGGUCAAAGAUGAAUCUACUUGCUUAGAUCUAAUCAUGUUCAGAAUCACUGGUGAACAGCUACAGCUUGCUUAGCACUACAAGUCUAGAGGUCAGGCUUCCAAGGGUGCAUAGCACUGAUGCCACUGUGGUAACUUGAAACACAAAGAGCUUGAAAACUGGAGGGAUUUAACUUCUGGUCUGUAGAGGAUUUAGUGCCAACCUUGCCUGGGGCAUUCUCACUUUCUGAUAGGUUCAUGUAUUUAGAACUGGCUUAUUAAAUUAAAACCAGCAGAUGAGUUAGCUCAGUUAGGCUACCUGAGGUUGUGGAGCCUCAAGGAACCCUUUUUAUAAUUGAAGAAAAAAUACCAAGAUCAAAUCCACCUUCAUGGAAGGCUUUGGUUUUUUGUUUGCAAAGGAAGCAUCACCCCUUACUAUGAAAAAAUAUAACUCAUAGAGCCUGGCAGUGAAAUUCUACAAAGGAGAAGAGUUGGAGGAAUUCAAGCCUGAAGAAGAAGGAAUGGGAGCAGGAGAAGAAACACUGUGUGGGGCAAUACUGUCUGCUAAGUCACAUAAUGUUCUUUCCUCCAGUUACUCUUCCAUUUAGAGUGGAGACUAGGUGGCUCUCUGCUGGUUUGUUAACUCUCCUGAAUUUCUAGAUAUAAUCUGUGUUUUAUACUUCUGUUCUUCUAGCCUGGUUAGUUUUGUGACAAGCAAGAGAAAAUACCACAGUGGGAAGGACACUUCUGUUCUAAGCGUUGUUGAAGAAAAGAGCACACCAAAAACUCCUCUGAAGAAUGUAAAGCCUCAUUGAACAGCUUACAGAUGAAAUUCUUUACUCAACAGAUAUGUGUCAUUAUAAGGACUCCUACAGUUCAUAUUCUUGGCUAGCCUGUUAUGAUAGUGUUGUGUCUCUUUGAUUUAUGCCAGAUUAUUCUUUCCUGUAAUGUCUAGCAGUCACUGGCACGUUUCUUCUCCAGGUAUCCACUGCAUUUAGCACAUUUAUAAAGCUUGAAAGAACAAUCACAGCUCUCAGAUUGCCUGUUGAGAUGUGGCAUGAUGAAAACAAGGCAUGACACAGUGACAUGUGAGGGACAAUAGGGGAGAUGGCUUCACUGAUCUCUUAGCUCUUAUUUCCUACAGCUCUAAAUCACAUAUGACAUGAAAGAAAUGCUUUGUGCACCAUAUGGUGACCUGAGGAUUGGAAUACUGUCUUCCUCCAAGAGCAGCAGCUGUCAACUUGUCACUUGUGGAAGAAAACCAAGAAAAGCAAUUCUAGUCAGCUUAAAUUCACUGUGCAGGAGCUGCAUCGGUGCUGAGUCCACAAACGGAAAAGGAAAAAUCAGUCAGAGCUCACUGUCCUAGGGACAUCUUCAAGUUAAAAGUCUUUGGUUUCUAUGUCUAGUGUAAUACCCCACUGAAAACCAGUUGCUUCAUGAUCUCAGCCUGUCUCCUAAUGAAAGAAUGGGAGCUGAGAAUUGAGCCUUCUUAAGUCCGUAGAUGCUGGAACUCAGUACAUUCAUUGCUAGAGGUCAUUUUGCUGAAAAGUUUCCCUCUUGUUCAUCCUUGCCAUCAAUCUCUUAGCAGACCCCCUCACACCCAGACUUCCCCAUGGCUUCCCGGGAAUAACCCUGUGUCACUUGGAAUCUACUCAGCCUUUUUUGAUUUCUGUACUAAUCAGAGACAGAGACUGACCUCCCUGUACAGAGGGACUGACACAGGUACCUCUCAUCAGGGUCUGACCAUGCUGUGCCCAGCUGCUGAACAGAUGGGUCUGAAACAAUACCCCUGGGCAUGGGAUUCAGGCUGCUCAGCCAAAGCUCCCUGCAUUUACCUAAUUGCCAUCAAGGUUUUAGCACUGGUACAUGACCAAGUGUGGUCUCUUGUCCCCUGACAACUGGGCUGAGACCACUGGAGUUGUCAGCUAAAUUACCUUGAAGUGAUUUAAAGCACUACAACCCAGACCUCAUGAUGCACACAGCUCCCAUUUCCUUUUGUAUUUCUUUAAUAGAAAAGUAACAGGAAAAGCAAUUACUGGCCAUAUGAAAUGUCAGUUCAUACAGUAUUUCCUACAAGACUUCAAGCAACUCCUUGUUAAAGCAGAUAAGUUAAUCUGUCUUUUGGUUCAGGUCACAGUAGGUUUUCAGCUUUAAAUCACUGUGGCUCAGUAACUAAUGGCAUUUGCCAUAUAAAUGAUGUUGAAAAAACAAGGAAUCUGGGUAAUUAUGAGGUGUAUAUUUCCGGUGAAAACAACCCACGUGAAGACAGUGUCAGAGAAAACGGUGAUUGAUCACCUGGAUUCUGCUCCCUUGUGUUUUCCUGUGCACUUUCUCUGCACUGUAGUAUUAACUGUCAGGCAGUUACUGUAAUGAAGUCUGGUAGUGGGCUUUUCAGCCUGAGGAGCUGUGUUACCCUCAGGAGGGGCUCAGCAGAGCGUUGUACCCAUGGAGGCUGAAGCUGCACAGCAAGAGGAGCACAGCCCCUUUGGGCAUUCAGCUUUCAGAAAGACCAGGGUGUGGUAUUUAGAAAGGCUCCAAAAUUGGCAGCAAGAGAAAGGCAAAUACUCUUCUGAACUGGAGACCGCCCUAACACAGACAGCUGCAGCCCAGCCUCUCCUCGUGCUCCUGCCAGUUCUCUCAAGCAUGACCUGGUUUGAGGACCACCUUCAGUGAGAUCAAAAGGAACAAAGGGAAGGAGAUGGCAAACAGGAGAAGAGAUGUGGAUGGAGGAGGCUGAGUCAGUAAGAAAACUGGUUCCAUUCCUCUGUGGAGGCAUUCUGGAAAGAUUCUUGCUCUAGUCAAAUGUUCCUGCCAUGGCAAGUGCUGUAUAUUUGAGGAAACUGUAGCCUGUGAAAUGCUG